UGUCUAAAGUUACUAAAGGCCGUUCUUUCAUUCAUUAUUAAGCCACUGGGCACUCUAUCGCAAGUGAACGACAUUGCCCGAUCUUAACGGACCUACAUUCAACAAAAGAGAGGUGAUUUCGCUAGUUGAGAGACUUAUUUCAUUAUUCAAUUGCCGCACAGUAUUGUGACACUUUCAUUCAGCCCUUAUUACGCGAUCUGUUUCCGCAUGUGACUUUCUCCGAGAGAAUGACGACUGCAUUAGGAAUUCCCAAAUAAGGACAACCGACCGUUUUGUCAGUAUAUGACCCUAUAUGGUUUAGUUUGAAUUAGAGAACGCAUGACAGAGUUCGUCACAUAAAGGUGGUUGGCAAUUCAAACGCUGGAAUCCAUUGGCCUACCUGCAAACGGCACCAAUACAUAGAUCAGAAGAUUUGAGCAUCGUAGCUAAAGCUGUGCAUGAGGUCUCCUCCAACAUCGUACACAAAGGUACUUUGAAAGAUGGAUUUAAAGUUCUGGGCAUCUUUCUCCGUUAUAUGCAUACUUAUGCAUUGCUGUUCAAUAUGUGAAAGCAGACCAAGACCAAAUUGCGUUGGUCUAUACAAAAACCCAAAUUGUCCACACAAUAACAUUGGUUUUACAAAAAGGCUAAUUGAUGAAAUCAUGAAAAGGACUGAAAGCGACAUGGUGAAUUCACCUGACGACUGGGAAAAAGAACUACAAACGGAGGACGAGCCUGAACUCAAAGGUGAACAAAUCUUCGCUGAUAGGGCGCCCGCUAACGGCUGGCAGGGGUUGGACGAGGACACACAGGCCUUUCUGGACACGAGGGAGCAAGAGGUCGAGGAGUUGAGGACAAAAGAACUCAAGUUGCUCCUUAUCCGCGCUAUGCUCGAUGACCUUGAAAAUGAGACAUUCGACAAUGUGUAACCAUAGCAACCAGACUGUAUCAGUAAAUCGCGAGUCUUAGCGAUGUCCUUUUGAAUACUAGAGAUCUCGGGCCUACCCGGAAAGGAAGAUCAGUCUUUCUCUUGGUUCAUUUCUGUGAUCUAUUUCUAGAUCAAAAUGCCAUUACAAUAUUCGUGUGCAUUCAGUUUGGCAGUUACAUCCUGUAAAAUCAGAUGUUUAAUUGGAAAAUAAAAACUAAAAUAAAAGUAGAUAAGCAAACAAACAAACAAAGAAAAAUAAAUCUCGCGGAAUCUGGUUGUUGACGUUUUUACUCAUUACUCGGUUUUUAUUUUGCUACAUUCGUUAUUUUAGUAGUUCUUAUAAUAUAUUUCACGUUGUAAAUAUAAUAUCAGGCUUGCAUCAUGUACAUUGUGACGUACCUUUGAAAGAUUCGUUUCUGUCCAUUAUAUAAAAACAAAUUGUAGGCCUAAAUUUCAUUUUUUUUUUUAAAUAGAGUAUUUCAUGUAACCGUUAUUAUUUGUUUCUCAUUUAUAUGAUAGCCUGCUAUAAAGAAAACGAUAUAAAAAGCAUAAUGGCAUACAUUUUAAUAUUUCGCUUUGUAUAUCCUUUAUUUUCCAAAAGACGAGAAGAAUGAAAAAUGCGAAUCAUUAAGCACGUAUGGUAAGAAAUAGCUAAAUUUUACAAAAUAUUUUGCUUCUUCGUAAAUUUACAUCAGAUAUUAAGAUUUCUAUAUUUUUUUUUUUCGUUGAAAGAUCAAGAGAAUAUUUAAUCCUAAACUGUUGUGUAAAUGUAUACAUGACUAUAUCUAUACUUAUGGGAAAGACGUAUUGCGUCGUUAAUUUUGACUUUAAACAAUUUAACUUGAAUUGAAUGUAUUCAAUUAUUUAAGAAUAUUAACUAUUUUGCUAUUUGUAAACUUUUAUUUUAGAGUGCAGAUAUAUAUUAAUAUUUUAAUUUUCUAAAAGUUGAGUGAUAUCUCAUUGUCACUAUUAUUAUUUAUCUUAAGAUGGUAACAAAUUCUGGAGAACAAAAAAUGGUCCUACAGGUUUUAAUCAAAUAAAUUGUAUAGACCUGUAACAAAACAAUAAUGAACAAACAAUUUCAAAAUGUAUUGUAUAUUGUAGAAAAUGAAGAAAAAAAAAAGUUGUA
rnacentral:lncRNA from 1 species